rnacentral:tRNA from 1 species
GUUGGAAUAGCUCAGUUGGUUAGAGCGUUUGGCUGUUAACUACAAGGUUGAAGGUUCAAGCCCUUUUUCUAGCG